rnacentral:rRNA from 1 species
UACGUAGGGUGCAAGCGUUAUCCGGAAUUAUUGGGCGUAAAGAGCUCGUAGGCGGUUUGUCGCGUCGGCUGUGAAAACUCGGGGCUCAACCCCGAGCCUGCAGUCGAUACGGGCAGACUAGAGUGCUGUAGGGGAGACUGGAAUUCCUGGUGUAGCGGUGAAAUGCGCAGAUAUCAGGAGGAACACCGGUGGCGAAGGCGGGUCUCUGGGCAGUAACUGACGCUGAGGAGCGAAAGCGUGGGGAGCGAACAGG